CAAAAUGUAGCUUACACAAAGUAUUUCGCCUACACCGAAAAGAUAUCUGUAAAACUCGGAUCAUUUUGA
rnacentral:tRNA from 1 species